ACGGGAUUGAAGGGAUUGCCUGAGGGUGAGGGGCAGAAUGGGUCAGCUCAGUAUGCAACCCACCAGACUACAGGCAGCCACAGCCCUAAUAUAGUGUCCGGUCCAACCACGACAACCUGUCCUGCAGCACAGACUCUCGCACAUGGCCACCCAGCAUGCUGCAUCCUAUCCCCAAGAGUGUUUGGCAGUGACAGGGACAGCACAGAGCCCACACACCCUGUAGUACAUCGGUAAACACACCACCCAACACCAGAACAGGCUGGUCCUGGUGACAAAACACACCACACACACCAUAGCAAGUGUCGAUCAUCAAGCAGAACACAUAACAACAUGGCAACAAAAUGCUCAGUAAAUACAACCACAAUACUUGCCAAUACACAAUUAUAGGCACAGGGACCUCACAGCCCGCUGAGAAAUAUUCCAGUACGUGGUAACAAUGUAUGGACACACAAUAACCAGCAUGGAGCAACAUCCUCCUGCAACACAACACACAAGUGUACAGCAGACUGUAGAGCACGGUAUGUGACAACACACACAACCAGGCAAAGGGUUGACACACUACAUAGCAACAUUGGCAGCACAGCAGGCAGCACCAUGCAAUAUCACAUGUAGUGUCUGACAACACCCCAACCUUAGGAAGAGCCCACAGAGCCGGGUGUGGUGAUCUAAUUUCAGCACUUGGGAGACUGAGGCAGAGGGAUCAUAAAUUCAGGACCAGCCUGGGUUCAAGGACAGCCUGGAGUACAUAGAACUUGUCUCCAAAAUAAAAACUAAAAAAAAAAAAAAGGAAAGCUCCCACAGAAAUAGCUAACAUCUAGUAAUUCAAUAGACAGAGCACAGAAAACAAAUAUUAAAGCAACACAGCAGCCAAGACAGAUAGCACAGCCCUUUGCUUCUCGGCCUUUUGGCUAAGAUCAAGUGCAGAUAGUACAGCCCAGAAAACCAGGUCUGAUGUUGGACUCAGUUUGAAUCCUGGUUCAGACUCCUAAUAUUUUUUUUGGUACCAGGGAUCAAACUUGGGUCCUUGCGCUUGCACAGCAGGUGGGAAAACCACUGAGCUAAAUCCCUGGCCCCAGACUCCUCAACCUUGAAGUGACCUGGCCAACUGACUUGUCUUCUCCGAGCCUCAGUUUUCUCAUCUUUAAAAUGCAUUGGUGCCAGUCCUCUCCUCAUGAGGCUGUUAUAAGAAGACAGUGGAAAGGCCUUAGCUGAGGCCUAACCUAUUAGGAGACUCACAAACCAUGGCGCUGCGUUAGGGUGAAUAAUGGCCCCACGAAGAUGUCUGUGUCUCUAUUAUUAGAACCUGUGCAUGGAACCUUUUACCUUACAUAGAAAAAGGGACUUUGCAAAUGCAAUUAAGGAUUCUAAGAUGAGAAGAUUACUAUGGAUUAUUGGUGGGCCCAAUGUGAUCACCAGAGUCCUUGUAAAAUUAAGAAGAGGUAAUGUGAUGAUGGGGGGGUGGGGGGUGGGGAGAGCUGGAAGUGUGGAAGCUACCAUCUUUCUGGCUUUGAACAUAGAGGAAGGGCCCAGGAACCAUUAGCCUCCCAAGCUAGAAAAAGCGAGAACAGAGAUCUUCCCUCAAAUCCUCCCACAGGAAUGCAGUCCUGCUGACCCAUUUUUGUUUUUUAAAGCUAGAAACAUUUACUCAAUUCAAAUACCCAAAUGAAACCCAGUUUAAUACACAGGGAAUUACAAAGAUGACCAAAACAUGGGUAGAUAUUAAAGUUAACUACAUUUACUAGCUGUCUUGAUAUACUCCAUUCCUUUUUAAUCAGUACAUAAGGCUCAAGUUCUGAGGCUUCAGGUUUUAUUUAAAAUCAUCUAAGCCUCGAGUUAACCAAAGAUUUCUCUAAGCUUGAAGUGGUAAUCUGCUCUUCAUGACAGAGUGUUCUGUAGUUUCUUCCACUUUACACCUCUCCAUUGGGUUAAUGGUUGUUUUCUUUGUCUUUUCCCUGUGAUUUUUUAUGCUGGAAAAAUGGAACCCCGUCACUUGAACACUCCACAUUGGCGUCUGCAGGUGGCUUUUGACUUAGAGGUUCUUCAAUGUACUGCUCCAGAACUGCCUUUUCUUCAUUUGUGACCUGACUCUUCUCUUGUUCACCCAUUUUUUAUUCUGGACCUACUGAACUGAGACGGACAGUGUCAAUACUCCUACCCUCUAGGAGCAUACGACCAUGGAGAAGUCCUCCCCAUGAUGUGUCUGUGGAGGGACUCUACUUUAUUCUCAACAAUGAAAGCCUCCCCUCAGAUGACAACAGAAGAAAACUACUCACGAGGCAGAAAAACUUGUUCUCGGUCAGUGCCUACCUGAGAUGAAAAGCCUAGCAUCAAUUGAGGGCCCUUUGAAUAGAUUCUCUCAAGGGUAUCUAUGACUGCAGAUCACAACUACAUCCCUCUUCAGCAGGAAGUAAUUAGAGUGGUGUGUGCCCUUUACCCCCUCUCAGCAGUUGAGGGUUACCUCUCCAUAGGGGGGGUUUGGUUAAGUUAAUCAUAGUAUAAACAGUCAGGGCUUAGUCUUUGAAAAGAGCCAAUACAGAUAUAUUAGGAAUGUGGGUGGAGGUAUUGUCAAUAUUGACAUAUACUUCAGCCCAGGGAUAAACAGCAGUGACUGAUAUUCAAACUGCUGUUAUUAUAAAACAAAAAGGGGGAGAUAUGGGAGAAGAAAUGGGAAGAAUGAGGCCUAAUUGAUGUCCUCAGUGAGCACUGAGAAGAAAGGGCAUGGAAGCACGCUAGCAUGCUGCAGGGAAAAGUAAAAAUACCCGAGGUUAAGUUGUUUAUCUGGAGAAGUACUGUGGAAGGUGGGAGACAGAUGAAUUAUGUGGAACACUAAUUGCUUAUGUCCAUGUCUGAGUGAAUAAAGACAAGUGCACCAGUCAUUUGGGGCUCUAUGUUAAAGGGAGACAUAAGCCUCCUGGCCCCCAGUUUUAA